rnacentral:rRNA from 1 species
UACAGAGGGUGCUAGCGUUGUUCGGAAUCAUUGGGCGUAAAGGGCGUGUAGGCGGUUUGUUAAGUCAUGUGUGAAAGCCCCCGGCUCAACCGGGGAACGACGCAUGAAACUGGCAAGCUAGAGUACCGAAGAGGGGGGUGGAAUUCCAGGUGUAGCGGUGAAACGCGUAGAUAUCUGGAGGAACACCGGUGGCGAAGGCGACAUCCUGGACCGGUAUUGACGCUGAGGCGCGAAAGCCAGGGGAGCAAACGGG